UACGUAUGGGGCAAGCGUUAUCCGGAUUUACUGGGUGUAAAGGGAGCGCAGGCGGCCUGGCAAGCCUGAUGUGAAAUACCGGGGCCCAACCCCGGGGCUGCGUUGGGAACCGCCAGGCUGGAGUGCCGGAGAGGCAGGCGGAAUUCCUAGUGUAGCGGUGAAAUGCGUAGAUAUUAGGAGGAACACCAGUGGCGAAGGCGGCCUGCUGGACGGUGACUGACGCUGAGGCUCGAAAGCGUGGGGAGCAAACAGG
rnacentral:rRNA from 1 species